GGGAUGAUGUCAAGUCAGCAUGGCCUUUAUAUCCAGGGCUACACACACGCUACAAUGGUCUGUACAAUGGGUAGCCAAGCCGCGAGGCGGAGCCAAUCCUGAAAGCAGGCCUCAGUUCAGAUUGCAGUCUGCAACUCGACUGCAUGAAGCCGGAGUUGCUAGUAACCGCAGGUCAGCAAUACUGCGGUGAAUACGUUCCCGGGUCUU
rnacentral:rRNA from 1 species